UACGAAGGGGGCUAGCGUUGCUCGGAAUCACUGGGCGUAAAGCGCACGUAGGCGGAUCUUUUAAGUCAGGGGUGAAAUCCUGGAGCUCAACUCCAGAACUGCCUUUGAUACUGGGGGAUCUCGAGUCCGGAAGAGGUGAGUGGAACUCCGGAGUGUAGAGGUGAAAUUCGUAGAUAUUCGGAAGAACACCAGUGGCGAAGGGCGGCUCACUGGUCCGGUACUGACGCUGAGGUGCGAAAGCGUGGGGAGCAAACAGG
rnacentral:rRNA from 1 species